rnacentral:rRNA from 1 species
AUACGGAGGAUGCGAGCGUUAUCCGGAUUUAUUGGGUUUAAAGGGAGCGCAGGCGGCCAUUUAAGUCAGCGGUUAAAUCGUGGGGCUCAACCCCAUUCUGCCGUUGAUACUGGGUGGCUUGAUUGCGGUCGAGGUUGGCGGAAUUCGUUGUGUAGCGGUGAAAUGCAUAGAUAUGACGAAGAACACCGAUUGCGUAGGCAGCUGACCAGACCGCAAAUGACGCUCAUGCACGAAAGUGCGGGGAUCGAACAGGAUUAGAUACCCUGGUAGUCCGCACAGUAAACGAUGAAUACUUGUUUUCGGCGAUAUAAUGUCGGAGGCAAAGCGAAAGCGAUAAGUAUUCCACCUGGGGAGUACGCCGGCAACGGUGAAACUCAAAUGAAUUGGCGGGG